rnacentral:rRNA from 1 species
UACAGAGGGUGCAAGCGUUGUUCGGAAUUAUUGGGCGUAAAGCGCGUGUAGGCGGCUUUGCAAGUCGGGUGUGAAAGCCCUCAGCUCAACUGAGGAAGUGCGCCCGAAACUGCAGAGCUUGAGUGCCGGAGAGGGUGGCGGAAUUCCCCAAGUGAGAGGUGAAAUUCGUAGAUAUGGGGAGGAACACCGGUGGCGAAGGCGGCCGACCUGGACGGUAACUGACGCUGAGACGCGAAAGCGUGGGGAGCAAACAGG